rnacentral:rRNA from 1 species
AAAAUGAACAAGGUUUCCGUAGGUGAACCUGCGGAAGGAUCAUUACCGAGUGUAGGGUUCCUAGCGAGCCCAACCUCCCACCCGUGUUUACUGUACCUUAGUUGCUUCGGCGGGCCCGCCAUUCAUGGCCGCCGGGGGCUCUCAGCCCCGGGCCCGCGCCCGCCGGAGACACCACGAACUCUGUCUGAUCUAGUGAAGUCUGAGUUGAUUGUAUCGCAAUCAGUUAAAACUUUCAACAAUGGAUCUCUUGGUUCCGGCAUCGAUGAAGAACGCAGCGAAAUGCGAUAACUAGUGUGAAUUGCAGAAUUCCGUGAAUCAUCGAGUCUUUGAACGCACAUUGCGCCCCCUGGUAUUCCGGGGGGCAUGCCUGUCCGAGCGUCAUUGCUGCCCAUCAAGCACGGCUUGUGUGUUGGGUCGUCGUCCCCUCUCCGGGGGGGACGGGCCCCAAAGGCAGCGGCGGCACCGCGUCCGAUCCUCGAGCGUAUGGGGCUUUGUCACCCGCUCUGUAGGCCCGGCCGGCGCUUGCCGAACGCAAAUCAAUCUUUUUCCAGGUUGACCUCGGAUCAGGUAGGGAUACCCGCUGAACUUAAGCAU